rnacentral:rRNA from 1 species
UACGUAGGAGGCGAGCGUUGUUCGGAUUUACUGGGCGUAAAGCGCACGUAGGCGGAUUGUUAAGUGAGGGGUGAAAUCCCAGGGCUCAACCCUGGAACUGCCUUUCAUACUGGCAAUCUCGAGUCCGGAAGAGGUGAGUGGAACUCCUAGUGUAGAGGUGGAAUUCGUAGAUAUUAGGAAGAACACCAGUGGCGAAGGCGGCUCACUGGACCAUUACUGACGCUGAUGCACGAAAGCUAGGGGAGCAAACAGG